rnacentral:rRNA from 1 species
UAGAUGCAAAUCUGAACCAGCCAAGUAGCGUGCAGGAUGACGGCCCUAUGGGUUGUAAACUGCUUUUAUGUGAGAAUAAAGUUAGGUAUGUAUACUUAUUUGCAUGUAUCACAUGAAUAAGGACCGGCUAAUUCCGUGCCAGCAGCCGCGGUAAU